AUUGAACGCUGGCGGCAGGCCUAACACAUGCAAGUCGAACGAGUGGCGGACGGGUGAGUAAUGUCUGGGAACCUGCCUGAUGGAGGGGGAUAACUACUGGAAAAGGUAGCUAAUACCGCAUACCAUCAGAUGGGCCCAGAUGGGAUUAGCUAGUUGGUGGGGUAACGGCUCACCAAGGCGACGAUCCCUAGCUGGUCUGAGAGGAUGACCAGCCACACUGGAACUGAGACACGGUCCAGACUCCUACGGGAGGCAGCAGUGGGGAAUAUUGGACAAUGGGCGAAAGCCUGAUGCAGCCAUGCCGCGUGUAUGAAGAAGGCCUUCGGGUUGUAAAGUACUUUCAUCAGGGAGGCGUUACCCGCAGAAGAAGCACCGGCUAACUCCGUGCCAGCAGCCGCGGUAAUUC
rnacentral:rRNA from 1 species